AUUGAACGCUGGCGGCAUGCUUUACACAUGCAAGUCGAACGGUAACAGGGUGCUUGCACCGCUGACGAGUGGCGAACGGGUGAGUAAUACAUCGGAAUGUACCCAGUAAUGGGGGAUAACGCUUCGAAAGGAGUGCUAAUACCGCAUACGCCCUGAGGGGGAAAGUGGGGGACCGCAAGGCCUCACGUUAUUGGAGCAGCCGAUGGCUGGUUAGCUAGUUGGUGAGGUAAAGGCUCACCAAGGCGACGAUCAGUAGCGGGUCUUAGAGGACGAGCCGCCAAACUGGAACGGAGACACGGUCCAGACUCCUACGGGAGGCAGCAGUGGGGAAGCUUGGACAAUGGGCGAAAGCCUGAUCCAGCAAUGCCGCGUGCGUGAAGAAGGCCUUCGGGUUGUAAAGCGCUUUUGUCUGGGAGCAAAUCCUGGCCUCUAAUACAGGUCGGGGAUGAGAGUACCAGAAGAAUAAGGACCGGCUAACUACGUGCCAGCCGCCGCAGUAACAC
rnacentral:rRNA from 1 species